rnacentral:rRNA from 1 species
GGGUCAUUAGGUUGGUCGUGCCACCGGUACGUACUGGUCUCACUGAUUCCUCCUUCCUGAAGAACCGUAAUGCCAUUAAUUUGGUGUUGCGGGGACACAGGACUGUUACUUUGAAAAAAUUAGAGUGUUUAAAGCAAGCUAACGCUUGAAUACAUUAGCAUGGAAUAAUGAAAUAGGACUAACGAUCCUAUUUUGUUGGUUUCUAGGAUUGACGUA